UCGGACAUCAGGAGGUUAGUGCAAUGGCAUAAGCUGGCUUGACUGCGAGCGUGACGGCGCGAGCAGGUGCGAAAGCAGGUCAUAGUGAUCCGGUGGUUCUGAAUGGAAGGGCCAUCGCUCAACGGAUAAAAGGUACUCCGGGGAUAACAGGCUGAUACCGCCCAAGAGUUCAUAUCGACGGCGGUGUUUGGCACCUCGAUGUCGGCUCAUCACAUCCUGGGGCUGAAGUAGGUCCCAAGGGUAUGGCUGUUCGCCAUUUAAAGUGGUACGCGAGCUGGGUUUAGAACGUCGUGAGACAGUUCGGUCCCUAUCUGCCGUGGGCGCUGGAGAAUUGAGGGGGGCUGCUCCUAGUACGAGAGGACCGGAGUGGACGCAUCACUGGUGUUCGGGUUGUCAUGCCAAUGGCAUUGCCCGGUAGCUAAAUGCGGAAGAGAUAAGUGCUGAAAGCAUCUAAGCACGAAACUUGCCCCGAGAUGAGUUCUCCCUGACUCCUUGAGAGUCCUGAAGGAACGUUGAAGACGACGACGUUGAUAGGCCGGGUGUGUAAGCGCAGCGAUGCGUUGAGCUAACCGGUACUAAUGAACCGUGAGGCUUAACCUUAC
rnacentral:rRNA from 1 species